rnacentral:lncRNA from 10 species
UUAUUUCUUCCAGUUCUGGAGGCUGGGAAGUGGAAGAGCAUUGUGCCAGCACCUGGUGAGGGCCUUCUUGCCGUGUUACACAUGAUGGUUUUUACUGAUGCCCUGCACAGAGAGAGGUCUGUAAAGUGGCAAGCAGGAGUCUGCUACAAUGGAGGAAAGGAUUUUGCUGUAUCUCUUGCCAGGCCCAAGGCUGCAGAGGGAAUUGGUAAU